AUUGAACGCUGGCGGCAGGCUUAAUACAUGCAAGUCGAGCGAGCGGCGGACGGGUGAGUAAUGUCUGGGAAACUGCCUGAUGGAGGGGGAUCCUUACUGGAAACGGUAGCUAAUACUGCAUACCAUCAGAUGUGCCCAGGUGGGAUUAGCUAGUAGGUGGGGUAAGGGCUCACCUAGGCGACGAUCCCUAGCUGGUCUGAGAGGCUGACCAGCCACACUGGAACUGAGACACGGUCCAGACUCCUACGGGAGGCAGCAGUAGGGAAUAGUGCACAAUGGGCGCAAGCCUGAUGCAGCAAUGCCGCGUGUGUGAAGAAGGCUUUCGGGUUGUAAAGCACUUUUAGCGAGGAGGCGUUACUCGCAGAGAAAGCACCGGCUAACUCCGUGCCAGCAGCCGCGGUAAUAC
rnacentral:rRNA from 1 species